UCAAUAGGUUCAUUGAUCCGGUGGUGAAUGGAGAUUAUCCAAGCAUAAUGAGAAGCUUGGUGAAGGACAGAUUACCCACUUUCAUUGCAGAGGAGAAGAAGCUGAUGAACGGGUUUUUCGACUUCAUCGGUAUCAAUUACUAUUCAUUGACCUAUGCUCAAAACGUCCCAGAAGAUGAACACAAAGUGUCAACUAGCUACUCUACCGACUCGUCCGUGAAGGAAUCUGGUAAGACGAGCCAUAUCUUUACCAUGCCAAGAUCAUGAAAGAUGUAUUUGGACGAGUAGGUAUGAUAAUCCAUCAUUUUUAACCCACUUCUCUGAUUUUCAGCAACCAAGAACCGCAUAUCAAUUGGUGCAAAGGCUGAAGGGAUUGAGUGGAUAUAAAGGUGUCCAGAUGGUCUGGUGCAAAUUUUGGACUAUAUAAAGCGGAAGUACCAAAUCCCAAAGAUUUACAUUACUGAGAACGGUGUCACUGAAGCAAAGGUAGAGGGCCGUCCACUGGCCAAUGUGCUGAAUGAUACUCACAGGAUUGAUUGCUUGAAGCAGCAUCUCGCACGUCUCCUUACAGUGAUGAAGUAAGUCCUCAAAUCCAUCACAUUUGCGAUCGUCACUACUUCGGUUAUCUGCCAUUGCAAUGCAUCAUCAUCUUAACCGUGUGUUGGGUUUGCUACACAUGUCAAAAGAGGGUGAGAGGAAUAUUUCUUUGCAUUCACACCAAGGUAUCUGCUAUUUGUGAUUGCAUGUGUGGCAAGUCGUGGCUUGAUCCACUUUUACUACGGCGACUAGUUUAAACUCUUAAUUUAGCUCUGCUCGAAGCCAACACCCGGUAACAACUUAUCAAAUUGAUCAAUUUGGGCAAUGCUGGAACGGGGUGAAUGUGCGAGGAUACAUUCACUGGUCACUCGCUGACAACUGGGAAUGGGCGUCGGGCUUCGUACCGAGGUUCGGGCUCUACUACACUGACUAUAAGGACAACCUCAAACGUAUUCCUAAAGCUGGCUGCUCUCAACUGUUGUCGCCUUAGUCUGAAUAUUCUGUUUCAUCUUCUUAUCAUAUAGUGAGCUGUACUAUUGUUUAUCAGAGUGAUAUCCUCUUUGGAAGUACACGUUACCAUGAGGAUUGUAAUUUGUCAGACUAGUGCUAUAAUAAUUUGAAG